CGUCACCAGGUGUGUGUUAAGGGAGGACCGGACACGCGUGUGCCAGGGAGGAGGAUGCCACCACGCUCUUCGAAGAUGUGCGGAGUUGUCGUGCCUCAACGGUCACCGUAGCUGCCUUCGAGGAGGAUUUGUGCCUGCAUCUUAAUGUUCGCCAAGCCCAUUACAUCGCUGGUGCGGGACACACAACAAAACAAAUCUGAACCUCAGCGACAUAUUUACUGGGAGAGAAGGAGGAUAAAAAGUGCAGGUCCUCUUCACAGGAUAGACCUUUUAUGUGUCAUGUCGACAAGGGUGUCUUUGAUAAGAUAUCCAAGCAGGCUGCAUGUGAGGUGAAUCAAGGUAACUACAUGAUGUAGUGAAGUAUAAACUCCUCUCCCUGUGAAUUUUAUGCCAGCUGGGCUUCAUUUUAAUGCUUGAGUCCUAAUAUUUCAUUUCUCCAAGCUUUUGAGUUCUAAUACUGUUCUGUAUUCUGAGGUCUUGAACAUUUGCCUGCACAACAAUGAUCUAUAAUAAUUCCCUUCUAAGCCUAGAGAUAGUUGUACACAUCAUUUAUUCAAUCCUAAAUUACUCUAUGCUCUGAAUUACUCCCGUGGUGCAUUUUAUGUCCCCCUUACAUCUAUAUCUAUGUCUUCUUACUCAUAUACAUGCUUUCCCAUGUAAUCAUCCUUAACAAAUGUCAUGUUCAAUCUGUAACUACUUAUCAGGGUAUUUUCUGAUUUUUUUAUGUUGCCGCUUACUGAUCUUACGACUUGGAGAGGAGAAGCCAAGUAGCAGCAAUCAUGCAGAUGUGUCAUGCAAACAAACUGAGACUCCAGAAAGUCACUGAUUGUACAAAACCAGAAAAACAAAUUGCAGCGCAAGCAUGCAAAGAGACAAUUGCGCAAAUCAAACACAUAUUCAAGUAAUAAGUCAGUGAGAGGCUUUAUAUUAGGCGGUGUACUGCAAAAAGGUGCCUCCCUCCAUCAUCAUUCCAUUCUUCUCAUGUUCCCUAUCUGUCAGCUGCACCUACAAUCGGUGCCCCACUCUAGCUCGACAAUUGACAAUGGCUACGUACAUCUGUUGUGGUCGGCAGCGAGGCAAGCCCUCCUUUUAAACCAUGUAUGUUGAUUUCAAAUAGUAGAACUAAUUCAUACUUUGAAGUAAUCAGGCUUCCAUGGACGUUCAUUUCCAUUAAACAGUAUUUUGCGAACUUCUUGUUCUCUGCAAAUUUUGGAUGCCACCGGUCAGUGUGACGCCCAAACCUUUGAGUGGCGUGUAUGGACUUUGGAUUGUUUACACUUUACAGCCUGGUGGCAAGUCUUUUUCUAAUUGAGACAAUUAUUUAGGUGCUAAAUCAAACAACAUGUCUAUAGGAUCCCAGUCUGGAAAACUAGAUGGUGUACGGAUUCAGAGAUGAACAUGACGAACGAUAGAAGUGUUUGUGCUGGCAGGGAGAGAAGGAGAAGUAAGGUGUUGUGGGCAGGGACUGGCUGUGGGUACAAGUAAGAAGGCCAGAUAUGAGAUGGGGGAAAGGAUGCAUGCAGGAGAAGAGAACAGACUGCACCGAAAGGCAGUUUGAGAUGUAGCAGUGGACGCCUCUUCCAUGAUAUUCAGCACUCUGCGUGUUCAGUGAUGCCGCACACGUCCUCUCAUCCCGUCACCAACGGCCUGGAUGUGGCAGCUGCCGUCAACAUCCCAACCGUCACCAGCACCACAUGUUGAAUGACAUUGGCAUCAUGUCACCGGGGCAGCAGCUCAACACCAGCAUUAUUCUGACAAGGAGCGAGAAACUGUUGAUUUUGCGAAGAACAAUUGUCACUGUAUUGCUUUCAAGGCGGAUGUUCCAUAGACAAACAAGUAUGCAAUCAACACUGCAUGAUUUCAACUGGUUUCCAAUCAUGGAAAGAAGGAACGACAUGAGCUAAAAGAUGCAGAAAAAGAGGAUUAGGCUCGCAGAUUGUUGUCAAGGAGAACAUUGAGCUAUGAGGGUGUUUUUUUGGGCAACACCGGCGAUGGUCUCAGCAGCUAAAUGAUGGUGAACUGUAGCUGUUGUAAUAUUGUGAGAAAUAUAUUAUGAUUAAUUUUAACUUACCUAUCCAUUUUUUUCAUUGCGAUGAUCUGAUAGGCCCCAUAUAGGUGUUUGGAUGAUAAUAGGUGUUUUUCUGGGUUCGGAAGGGUGUUCAUUAAAAUUAUUGAUUGGUGAAUUCCGGUGGCGGAUUUAAUUUCAAUAUGCUUUAGAAAAGUCUGUUAAGUACAUAUUACAUCAAGAUUUAAAUUCAUAGAGUAUGUGAAAUGUACGGUAAACCAUUGCUCAUGUAAGA